CCUACGGGGGGCAGCAGUGGGGAAUAUUGCACAAUGGGGGAAACCCUGAUGCAGCGACGCCGCGUGAGUGAAGAAGUAUCUCGGUACGUAAAGCUCUAUCAGCAGGGAAGAAAAAAAGUCUUUGGCUUUGGACGGUACCUGACUAAGAAGCCCCGGCUAACUACGUGCCAGCAGCCGCGGUAAUACGUAGGGGGCAAGCGUUAUCCGGAUUUACUGGGUGUAAAGGGAGCGUAGACGGCAAUGCAAGUCUGGAGUGAAAGGCGGGGGCCCAACCCCCGGACUGCUCUGGAAACUGGAUAGCUGGG
rnacentral:rRNA from 1 species